ACGGACAAGCCCGGGAAGGUCACUCGUUCCUCCCGCGAGGGCAGUACUUUCGUUGUACAGCUCUCGUUUCCUAGGGGAACAGAAUUGCUAGACGCAAUAGGUGCGUUGUCUUUAGAGUUCCCCCAUCCCGUUGAGAGCCGGAAGCAGUUAAAUCUCAGGCUCCAGCAUUUCGGGAGAAGAUAUCAUACCCAGUAUGUUUCCACUGACUGAGGAAAACAAGCAUGUGGCCCAGUUGUUGCUCAAUACUGGUACCUGUCCAAGAUGUAUCUUCAGAUUCUGUGGUGUGGAUUUUCAUGUACCUUACAGACUUCCAUAUAAGGAGUUGCUCCAUGGGCUACAGAAAUUUUUGGAAACUGAAAAAGACGGAUUAAUUUUGGAAGUUCUAAAUCCACCUCCCAAGAAAAUUAGGCUGCAAGAAUUGGAAGAUGGGAUUGAUAAUCCGAGUCAAAAUGGGGAGGCCAGGAGCUCUGUUAUUGAAGAUGGAAGUGUUGCUUCCAAGAACUCAAAUUUAAAUGUAUGUAAUGUUUGUCUAGGGAUUCUUCAAGAAUUCUGUGAGAAAGAAUUCAUAAAAAAGGUAUGCCAAAAGGUUGAGACCUCUGGAUUUGAAUUUACCAACUUGGUAUUUUCAGUCUCCUUCCCAGCACAGAUAUCUGUAAGAGAGCAUGCGGCAUGGUUGCUGGUAAAACAGGAAAUGGGAAAGCAGAGUAUGUCGCUGGGGAGAAAUUAUGUAGUUCAGUUAAAAGAAGCCUACAAAUGGAUAACACACCCCCUGUUUUCAGAGGAACUGGGUGUUCCCAUCGAUGGAAAGAGCUUAUUUGAAGUGAGUGUGGUCUUCGCUCACCCAGAAACAGUUGAGGAUUGCCAUUUCCUAGGUACAAUUUGCCCAGAUUGUUUCAAGCCAGCCAAAAACAAACAGUCAGUGUUCACUAGAAUGGCAGUUAUGAAAGCUUUGAAUAAGAUAAAAGAAGAGGAUUUCUGCAAGCAAUUUCCUUGUCCUCCAAACUCACCAAAAGCUGUAUGCACUGUUCUUGAAAUUGAAUGUGCUCAUGGUGCUGUUUUUGUGGCUGGGAGAUAUAAUAAAUACUCCAGAAAUCUACCACAAACUCCUUGGAUAAUUGAUGGGGAAAGGAAGCUGGAAUCUUCAGUGGAAGAAUUAAUUUCAGAUCAUCUAUUGACAGUAUUUAAAGCAGAGAGUUUUAAUUUCUCAUCCUCUGGAAGAGAAGAUGUAGAUGUGAGAACAUUAGGAAAUGGAAGGCCCUUUGCAAUUGAGCUGGUGAAUCCUCAUAGAGUACAUUUCACUUCAGAAGAAAUUAAGGAACUUCAGCAGAAAAUUAAUAAAUCAUCCGACAAGAUACAAGUACGUGACUUGCAGCUUGUCACAAGAGAAGCAAUAGGACAUAUGAAAGAAGGUGAAGAAGAGAAGACCAAGACCUAUAGCGCCUUAAUAUGGACAAAUAAAGCAAUACAGAAGGAAGACAUUGAAUUCUUAAAUGGUGUAAAGGACCUAAAGAUUGACCAGAAAACACCUUUACGCGUUCUUCACCGAAGGCCCUUGGCUGUGAGAUCUCGAGUCAUUCACUCCAUGGAGACACACUACGUGGAUGAGCACCAUUUUCGCCUCUAUCUAAAGACCCAAGCUGGAACCACAUGCCUCUCAAGUGCUGGGACUACAGGAGCAUCUCACCAUACCCAGCUCUACUUUGCAUACUGAUAUUCUCUCUCUACAUGCCUUGUGAAGAAACAAAAAUAAAACAAGGAUACUUCAGACUUCAGCUACAUUAAAGAAUUUGUACAUGGAGACUUUGGGAGAACCAAUCCAAACAUUGGGUCUUUGAUGAAUCUGACUGCAGAUAUUCUUGAGCUGGAUGUGGAGUCCGUAGAUGUUGACUGGCCACCUUCUCUGGAUGACUAGCUUUCAAAUUUGGAAGCAGAGUAGUAUUUUCCUAGCAUGAUGUGGACAUCCAUGCAACAUACCUGUAAAAGGCUGUUUACCCACCAUAACGGUGUCUUGGAAACCAUUUGGAUCAUGUUGAUCUAUUUUUAAAAUUUGUUGUAACAUCUCAGGAUCUGUCUGUCUAUACAUGUGUGUAUUUUGUGUUACACUGUUCCAAGGAUGUCUGUGAUUUUUUUAAUUCCCACUUUCACCUCCACAAACAAAAGCUAUGAAUAACAAAACCAUUCUCCCUCUUAACUUCUUUUAGAGAGGUACACAAACAGGAGACAUUUUCUGUUAAGUUUCAAAAUGAUUUCUCUUCACAAGAAUACCACCUUUAAAAUCAUAUUCUAAAUUAAAAAAAUUAUUUGAAUAAAAGUUAUAACUAAUAUACUGAGCAUCCUAUAAUAUCUUAUCAAAUGCAAAUCUCACAUCAUUAAUAUUUUUCCUGGUAAGCAUCAAGUAAAAUUACCAAUGGAAGUACGGCUGUGAUUUAUCACAAGUCAUAAUAACUUCAAGUUACUAUUUUUGAUAGUCUAAAAUUACCAGUACAUGUUUCUUGUGGAAGGAAAGUGAAAUUUUAGAAAUUGAGGCAUAUCAUGGUCAGAGACUUGCAUAAAUAUUUUAAGUAAGGAAAAACAAGUGCCUUCAAUAACUUCAACCCCAGGGUAAGAAUUUGAAAAACUAAUUGACAAAGAUUAACUGGUAUUAUUUCACAGGGCUUCAAUAUAUUGCCCAAUUUCAAAAGUUCUAAAAGGUAGAUAGAUACAAUGUUUGAUUCUAUAAAUAGGAAAACCAAAGAAUAAAAGUUAAAUGACUUGCCUAAAAUUCUUAGUUACUUCCAUAUCUGGGACUAGAACUCAAUUAUCUUACUCAGUCCUUAGGAUAGUGAUGGCGAACCUUUUAGAGUUGAGUGCCCAAACUGCAACCCAAAACCCACUUAUUUACUGCAAAGUGCCAACGCUGCAAUUAAAUCUGAAUACUGAGAUUUUAAGUUUAGAAAAAACAAGUCAUAUUAACAUCUUCUGUCUUAAAAAAAACAAAUAACACUUGCCAUAGGUUGGCCACCACUGCCUCAGGAUCUUUCUAAUAAACCCUACUCAUCACCUAUUCUAUGUAGGAGACACCUGAGGAAGCCAAUUAAACUCAUGUAACUUUGAAAACUGACUUUCAGAAUUUAGAUAGCAAAUUAAGGAGCUUAUUAAACAAUGGCCCAAGUACAGUAUAUUUCAUAUACUCUCAUAUAAUUAUCAUUUGUUAAUAAGUUAAUCAUUUGGCAUUAUAAAGAGGAAAAAUAUUAAAUACACUGAACCUAAAGAAAUUGAAUGUAUCAUUAGAAGUUUCAGAAAGUAGACUCACUAAAACUUCAUAUUGCUGGGCAUAGUGGCCCCAUAGGUCAAGGCAGGGGGAUCACUGAGAGUUUGAGGCCAGUCUGGGUUACAUAGUGAGUUCAAAGGUAGCCUGAACUACAUAGCGAGCGAGACUCUGUCUCAAAAAAAAUUUUUUUUUCAUAUUUAAAUAUAAUUUGUCACCUAAUUCAACUAUAUGAGCUUUUUUUCCUUUUUUUUUUUUUGAGGCAGGAUCUCCCUUUAUAGUUCAGGUUGGCCCUGAACUCACUAUGUAGCCCAGGCUGGCCUCGAAUUUUCGGUGAUCCUACCUCAGCCUCCCGAGUGCUGGGAUUACAGGUGUGCACCACCAUGCCCACCUCUGUAUGAGCUUUUUUAGGAGACAUCUGACUUGAUAGUAUUAGAUUACUCAGUCUUAUUUCUAUAUUAAACAUAGUUCAUGGAUACAAAGAUUCACUUUAGAUAUCAGGAAAAUGGUUUUAGCUGACGUGAAAAAAAUCCUACUAAUGGGCCAGGGAUUUAGCUCAGUGGUUCCGGCGCCUACCUUGCAAACGGAAGGUCCCAAGUUUGAUCCCCGGUACCAAAAAAAAAAUCCUACUACUAUCUUGAAACUCUUCAUCAUAUGCGAGUAAUAACAACUAAUUUCUUUUUGCUAUUUUUGAUGCCAGAAAAUGAGAAAAGGAUAACAAAUAAAUUUUAACAAAAAGAUAAAAACUUCAGUGUGGAUGUCUCUCAAUUUCUGGGAAAAUUUUGCUACCAAAGAGAUUUAAGUAAUUUAGAGUAAGUCAGUGCUGAAUGCCAUGGACCUGCAAUAUGGAAGACUCAGGAACCUCCUCAGCAAACUUAAAUUAGAAAACUUAAAUUUCUUUUCCUAAGACAUACAACAUUUCAAGCAAAGAGUAAACAUUAGCUGUAAGUACUUAGCCCAAAGGUUCAUAUUGUCACACCUGGCCUAAACAAACAGGACAAAGCAAAUAGCCUGCUUUCAGCAAACAACAGCAACCGCUCAGUAAAUAGGACAAUGGACCCAAAAUGAAGAAUACAAUCCCUCUGGUGCUGAGAAGUCCAGUGAUUGUCUACACACCUUGGGCAUCCAGGUCAUAAACAUUCCUUAUGAUUAUAUCCCCUUCCCCUAAAUCUAUAUCAGCAUAGUUUUCUUUCCCUGCUAGCUACUAGAAUCUAUCCCGGAUUUUAGUCCGUUUACCGGAAUAAACUUUUCUUCACAAAAAGGCCUGUUUCAACGAGUAGAUUUAUGUGUGCUGUCUAUAACACAUAUAAUUUUGAGACAAGUUAAAAAUUUAUGCAGUUCUUUGUUUAGGCAGAACUAGGAACAUUCUCUUAUGAGAGUACUCUAGUUUCUUGUUUGCCUAUAUAAAACUAUUUUAAAAUUAGUUUUAUGAUUUCUUUAAGCUUUGUUUAAAUUAGAAGUCUUUUAAAUAAGAUUUAGAGAAAAAGUCUUUUGUUCUCUCCAAAACUGGGAAAGUAAGUUUCUGUUGUUUAGAAAUAAAAACAGAGAGAAAAAUCUUUCAAAAAGGCAUUUCAGUACCCUGAAAAUACUCAUUUCCAAGAGUCACAAUGCAAAAAAAAUAUUCAGCAAUAGCAUUCCAAAAACAUGUCUUAACGCCUUAGAAACCAAAACUAACUUUUGUUUUAAGAAAAAUACAAAUAUUAAGAAAAUCAAAUUAAGUCAAAUUGCAACAAAAUUUAGCAAGUGUUUUAGAAUUUUUUACAUUUAUUGUAUUACCAAGAAAAAAACCUGUAUACAAAGAUAUUACAAAGGUAAUAAAACAUUCUGUACAAUAAAAGGUAUUUUAACAUUUUAAGAA